rnacentral:sRNA from 1 species
UGCAGCAGGUUCGAGCCGAACGCAGUGAGGCACCGGAGCCGUUUACGGCGACGGCCCGAAGGGCGAGCGAAGCGAGUCAUCCUGCACGACCCACCA